CAGCCGCCGCGGGAAUACGGAGGGGGCUAGCGUUGUUCGGAAUUACUGGGCGUAAAGCGCACGUAGGCGGCUUUGUAAGUCAGAGGUGAAAGCCUGGAGCUCAACUCCAGAAUUGCCUUUGAGACUGCAUCGCUUGAACGUCGGAGAGGUGAGUGGAAUUCCGAGUGUAGAGGUGAAAUUCGUAGAUAUUCGGAAGAACACCAGUGGCGAAGGCGGCUCACUGGACGACUGUUGACGCUGAGGUGCGAAAGCGCGGGGAGCAAACAGGAUUAGAUACCCCCGUAGUCCCUGUCUCUUAUCC
rnacentral:rRNA from 1 species